CCUCUAUUCAUCUCCUAUUCGUCUCGAUAAACAUUCUCUUCCCCAGGACCAAAACCCUGAUUCCCACCUUCAAUGGCUUCUCCCUGUCUUCGGUCUAUGAACCGCACCUCCAUCUCUUCUUUCAAAUCCUUCAUCACGAAAUCCAAGCUUCCAUCAUCCACCCGAUCGCAGUCCUUCGCCUCUCGAUUCAUCUCCAGGUCUCCUGUUGAAUUGGGAUGCGUCAGUGGAUCUCUGUUCCCAAGCCAAUCAGCCGUGCCUAUGUCUGGGCUGGCUUCGCCUAUGAUCUUGACGUCAAGAAGCUUUAGCUCUCUCUCACAGGGGACAUAAAUUUACUGGUACUAGGAAGAGGACAUGGGGUCUGGCGUAUGUGUCCAGCAUGCUUUCUCAAACUGCCAAAUCGACUCAAUGGGUCAUGAAAAACAUCGCUUCCUCUAUCUGCUGAAGAGACGAAGAUAAGUUGCUGGUUGAAUUUGUAACACUUGAAAAAUCAUGGUGGAUGAGAUAAUUUGUUUGGAUGAGCCUGGGGCUGAAUUUUAUGUUAAAAGUUUUUGGAUUCAGCUGAAUGUUUCUAUUUGUUUCUUUCUCUUGUAAUUUAUAUAAUAUUUUAUUUUUCAUAUUAAAUUCCUGUUUGCUUUCUCUCAUUAACUGGAAGUUGUUUGAUGGCCUACACUCUGAGCAAAGCGCGUGAAGAUUUGUAUGGAUAUGUUAAUUCUAGAA